AUUGCACGUUAUCGUUUUUCAAAGAAUGGAGUCUCUUUCUUGGAAAAUCUUCUUAAGGACGAUUUGCAACGGCAAACAAACAGAAACCAUGCGCUGACAUCAAUCCAACAAAUCCUCAUAACAUUGAGAUUUUUUGGUACUGGAGCAUUUUAUUCAGUCAUUGGAGACACUCUAGGAUUCCACAAAUGUACGGUAUCUAGAGUUGUUGAAAAUGUAACGGAUGCCAUCAUCAAGCACUUGCACGAGUUCGUUGUGUUGCCAUCACCAGCGGAGAAGGAAAGAGUUAAACAAGGCUUUUAUGCAGUUGCUGGAUUUCCGAAUUUACAUGGCUGCAUAUAUGGUACAUACAUCGCAUUCAGGCACCUCAUAAUGAUGAAGCUUCAUAUAUCAAUCGAAAAGGCUUUCACAGCAUAAAUGUCCAAGCUGUCUGUUAUCAUCAAGGAAAUUUACAAGUGUCAAUGCCAGUUGGCCAGGGUCAUGCCAUGAUACCCACAUAUUCAGGACAUCUGGUCUUUGUGCAAAACUGGAGAGGGAAAAUCAGAACUUUGCUGAUGGUGUGCUCUUAGGAGAUAGUGGUUACCAAUUCAAAGUCCGUGGCCAAUGAAAGAUACCAGCAAGCCCACGCUCGGACACGAACCAUCAUUGAAAGAAGCUUUGGAAGACUGAAGCGUAGAUUUGCUGUGCUCCACUCUGAGGUUAGAUUGUCGCCGGCAAAGGUAUGCAAGAUAACAACAGCAUGCGUGAUACUAUACAACAUUUGCAUCGCUCUAAACGAACCUGACAUUGAUUCUGAUGAAAAUCAAGACAAUACAGAUGCAGUCUUCAAUCAUGCUGUGAACGGAAACGGAAGCGGGACUCACAUACGCGAUUACAUUGUCAACAGAUAUUUCGCGUAAUUAAGAAAAACUGUUUCUCGAAUUUAUGUAACGACAUUAAAUAUAAAGUGCAUAAUCUAACACAAUUA